AUGAACGCUGGCGGCGUGCCUAAUACAUGCAAGUCGAGCGAACGGACGAGAAGCUUGCUUCUCUGAUGUUAGCGGCGGACGGGUGAGUAACACGUGGAUAACCUACCUAUAAGACUGGGAUAACUUCGGGAAACCGGAUCUAAUACCGGAUGAUAUUUUGAACCGCAUGGUUCAAAAGUGAAAGACGGUCUUGCUGUCACUUAUAGAUGGAUCCGCGCUGCAUUAGCUAGUUGGUAAGGUAACGGCUUACCAAGGCAACGAUGCAUAGCCGACCUGAGAGGGUGAUCGGCCACACUGGAACUGAGACACGGUCCAGACUCCUACGGGAGGCAGCAGUAGGGAAUCUUCCGCAAUGGGCGAAAGCCUGACGGAGCAACGCCGCGUGAGUGAUGAAGGUCUUCGGAUCGUAAAACUCUGUUAUUAGGGAAGAACAUAUGUGUAAGUAACUGUGCACAUCUUGACGGUACCUAAUCAGAAAACCACGGCUAACUACGU
rnacentral:rRNA from 1 species